AGACUUGCAUUGCCCACAAAGACUUUCAGAGACCUAUAGACUUAUAUUUAUUUGGUUCUAUGUUUUCUAGAUAAAUAUAAGUCUAUAGGUCUCUGAAAGUCUUUGUGGGCAAUGCAAGUCU
rnacentral:miRNA from 1 species